UGAUGCGUAGCUCUUCUGAGGACUUGCCAACGGGGCUCCAGUUGCUUGUUUGUUGGCUUUACUGGUUUCUGUAAAUAGCACGGGGCACUCACAUUCAUCCAGCCUGUCCAGCCUUCUGUUCCAGGAUUUGGAAUGUGUGGUUCAGGUGCUAGCAGGACACAGCCGCUCCUCUCCAAAACUGGAGGCCCAUAAAGCUAUGAAGACAAAUCUUCUUUUCAAGGAGAAUGUUCCAGAAAGACAUUUCCCACAGCAAGGUUUACCACGGCCUUCCUCCUCCACACCCCCAGCAUCAUGACUCUCUUUCCUGAUCUUCCUAUGAGUAGCACACUGUGCUUGUCUCCUGAUUUCCUCACAGUGACCUCACACCUCAAUAUCUCCUGAAGAAGUUCCCUCUAAAGCAUGCCAUUGAGUUCCCUGACAUGGGAUCCGUACCUCCGACAAGUGGUUGCAGAAGAGCCUUCAAAACAAGCUAUUGUCUGACAGGUUUCUAUUUAUUUCUACAAAUGUGCGGCAUUUUUCCAAAUCCUCCUAUCCCUGUAGGGGUGACAUAUUUGGUCUGUUUUAUUUGGGAAGGGGGAAAAAUCAAAAGCUAAAUGUAUCAUUGGGGAUUUUUGUUUUGUUUUUUUGUUUGUUUGUUUGUUCGUUCUGGUGGUCAGAUGAAGCCAUCUCUGGCCUUGUUUCUGUCUGCUGAAAGAGAUGGCACCGUGCCUGGCCACGCCCCCUUCCCUUCAGCCUCCACACUCCAGCCAGACUCACAGCAGUGCUACAAAAUAUAGACUUGAAAAGUAAUUAAGAUAUAAGUAUUCCAGAAGAGAACACAUGGUUAUUUAAAGCUAUUGGACAGCUUUCAAAAGGAAAGAUCUAUGAAAUCCAAGGGCUGAGAGCCAUCACGCUGUUUGCCUCCAUUCCUCACAUUAAGAAUAGGGACUAAUUAUAAAUCUCCAGCAAAUAUGACCUGGUAAAGAGUUUUCAAACAAAAGCCUGCACCGAACAGGAUAUCUGGCAGAUCUGGGCACUUGUUUUCGCUAAUAACCAUUAAAGCUGUUCCUAGUAAAGCCUUUUACAGCAGCAUUAGAAAUAUCAGGGUUUACGUUUUCCUUAAUGAAUCGCUGCACUGUGUUACCAUUGCACCAUGGUCUCCCAGCGGCUCCCGAUCCUCGCUUUGUCUCCACAGUGCCUCUUUCCCCCCCUGUAACAUUUCGUUUCCAAUGACACGUCAGCCGUCUUUCACCAACCUCAAAGGAAAGUUGAAUGCAGGCCUCACAAAGUUAAGCUGACAUUUGCUCCCUUCCAAUAAAAAAUAUUUAGUCCAUUAAACAUAAAUACCUGUCAUUAUGAUACAUGGAGUGGGUGCGAGCCUCCCGGUUCCCUCUGAUGUUUAUUACAUCCAAGCAACUGCAGUGCCUGCAUGUUUUCAACUUUAGUGUAUUGAUUAAACUUUUAAAUGGCUGCCAUAUAA